GACAGAGGGUGCAAACGUUGUUCGGAAUUCCUGGGCGUAAAGCGCAUGUAGGCGGCCAUCUAAGUCGGGCGUGAAAUCCCACGGCUCAACCGUGGAAGUGCACUCGAAACUGGAUGGCUAGAGUCCUGGAGAGGAAGGUGGAAUGCUUGGUGUAGAGGUGAAAUUCGUAGAUAUCAAGCGGAACACCGGUGGCGAAGGCGGCCUUCUGGACAGUGACUGACGCUGAGACGCGAAAGCGUGGGGAGCAAACAGG
rnacentral:rRNA from 1 species